rnacentral:sRNA from 1 species
AAAAAUGGCUUGCGAUUAUAUAAAGAGUAUGUGAUAAAACAUAUGGGUAAACGAAGUACUGCUCUGUAAUAAAUAACAGCAACCAAUACUGGUUUGUUUAUUUUUAUGCCAAUAGGCUAAUAAAGUGAUUCAAAGGAAAUUUUUGAAAUGGCAAAAAUCACUGGUACUGUGAAGUGGUUCAACGAGUCUAAAGGUUUUGGUUUUAUUACUCCAGCUGAUGGUAGCAAAGAUGUAUUUGUACAUUUUUCUGCAAUUACAAAAGAUGGGUUUAAAACAUUGUCUGAAGGCCAACGAGUUGAGUUUGAAAUUCAGGAUGGUCCUAAAGGCCCUGCUGCUGCAAACGUCACAACUUUAUAGUAACAAAUUUUAUUUGGCGGGUAUUUUUACUGGCUAAAUAUG